CUCCUCAGGUCAAAACACAAGUAGUCAAGAGAUUUGUCCAUCUAAUUCAUCAUACUACUCUGAUCCAAGUGAGACCCACACUGGGUCAGCUCCAUCAAGGAGAAGAACAUUCCACCCACGUUUGGAUUCUGGAAUAUCAUCCUUGCUUCCAUCAGAUUCUUGUAAGUACCUCACUUGGCACAAGGUAGACAUGACGUUCAAGGAAGUCAACUGCGUUGCCCAAGAGUAAGAGAAGGUAAAAGAAUAAAUGUGUGCCUUUUUCGUGUACAUCCUCUGAAUAGAAUUUUUUGUGGAUUAAAAGACAUUACUUGAAGAAAAAAAAAAGACACCAUUUGGAGGAAUCUCUGAAGAAGAGCAACUUUUCAGACAGGUAGAGUGUGCCUUGCUCCCAAGGAAAAGAGUUCUUGAAAAAAACAAAUGGGAAACAUGGCUACAAGAAAACUGGGAAGACUGCAAGAAUUUGAACAUUUCAUUUCAGGGUUUGGGGGAUCCUUACCAAGUUGAAAAUUUUAACAGAAUUCUUAGAAGACUAAUUCGAGUUGAAACCCUCUGGUUAGUGGAUAAUUCACUGGUGGACUUAAGUGCCAUAAGAUUGCCAAGGGAUUGCUAGAGAACCCCUUUUACAGGGAGCUGCUAUUUGCUUCAGCAGGCAGAAUGCGUAGGUGGAGUGAGCUUUGGUGGCAAUGAGAGGGGCCAACAGAGGUCCUCAGGAGUGAAUUAGAUGAAGGAAAUUGAGCAUCCACAAAAAGGAAAGAUCCACCAAUAAGAAGACAGCACAAUUCAAAAGAGAAAGGACUUAAUGACAGAGCUAAUAAUAGUAUUCUCCUGUUUGCCAAACUUAAAAAUGCUGGAUGGAAUCUUGAAGCUACCAGAAGAUUGCUUAUCACCAGAAACCAAUAUUUUUUCAAAAAUAUGCCUUGUAUCCUAAUGCAGUCUGUAUAGAAAGAAAGCAAUCAUCAUUGUUGCUAAAAGCUAAUAAACACAGGACAUGCAUGAUUAAAUAUUGCAGUUUAUUUUAUAUCUUUUUGCUUUUCUAAAUCAAGGUAGGAAAAUAUUUUCUGUAAAGGACCAGAUGGUAAACAUUUCAGGCUUUCUGGGCUAUAUGGUCUCUGUCACAACUACUCAACCCUGCCAUUGUAGUGCAAAAGCAGCCAUUGAUAAUAUGUAAAUGUAUGGGUGUGUCUGUGUCUCA
rnacentral:lncRNA from 1 species